rnacentral:sRNA from 1 species
UUUCAUCUCAUAUAUUUUCCUCGUAUAGAUGAAUUUUUAACUCAGCUGCAGAUUGUGGCUCAACAUGAAAUUUCUGGUUGACAGGUUGAAGACAUACAUUUUUUCAAAAAGUCAAAAAAAAACCAAAAAACUUGCACUUUACAUUAAACAAAAAUUUGCUUUAGUUUUAGACUUAUUAACUUGAAUUUCAUGUAGAUACAUGUAUAUUCUGUAUUCAGUUAUGCAGCUAAGGUGAACUGAUUAAAACAAAGUCAGAUUGUUAUAUUUGAAUGAAAUGAUGCUCCAUUUUUGCUUUUUCCUUCUCUGUCUGAUUGUAAACCUAGUGCUUCAAUAUGAUGCCAUUGAAUAUUGGUAUAUCUUUACUAAUUUAUUAAAUUAAUGAAUACGUUCAAUUCUAUAUGAACUUUUUCAUGAUGUCACAAUGAUCAUAGCACACGACUAUUGCUUGUCACUAAGAUUUUUGUAAACAUGAAAUCUCAGUAAUUUUAACAAUUCUGAACAAUUUGCCUUUUCCAAAUGUAAAUAUAAAUGAUAAACAGCAAUAUUAAAUUAAAAAGUUCACCAGGAUAUGAACUUGGUUGGUACGUGAUCAAAUCUUCUGGAUUUGAUCAUGUGACCAAAUCUUCUGGAUUUGAUCAUGUGACCAAGCAAGUUCAUAUUUCGUUGAACUACUUAACUUGCAUUUUAUUUCUUAAAUGAAAACCGUCAGUACAGAGAGGUUAUGAAUGUAAAUAAAUCAUCAGAACUUUCAAAGAUGUUAAGAAAGGUAAAGAAAAUCAAAAGUAAAAUAGAUUAUGAAACAUUGUUGGUCUAAAAUUCCAAGCUCUCAUUUUUAAAACUUGUAUAUAUAGUCAUCUUUUAGAUUGAACUGCAUCAAUGGUACCUAAAAUAAUUAUAACUGUGUGAAGAAAUAAAGUACUAGAAUGUAAAGUUUUGAUAAUUUUUUGUUUUCUUAGCUUUCAAUAAUCUUUUUUUUUCUGUAUGUCAUUGAGUGAUAAAAUCAUUACGACAGAACCUGAAACAAAAAUUAAUGUAUGUGUUGUAUUUUAUAAUUACAAGUGACAUGUAAUGACAAUUUGUUCAUGCAAUGUAGAUUGAUCUGCCUCAAAUUGUAGAAUAUUUCAAAGUGUUACACGUUACAUAUUGAUAAUUUUCUUAAAUUAAAUUCUUUUGGAAUUUAAUGUUUGAUGUCUACUUCAUCAGUGUAGGAAUAUUUAAAACACUUCAUUAGUUGAUGUUACAAAUUAAAUUUUACUUCGCUUCACUUUUACUUGAAACUUGGGGAAAAGAUACUUAUUUGAAAUUGAAUAUUGCUCUUUAGGGAGUUAUCCCACUAAAAGUCAAAUCUAAUAUUCUUCCAUGCCAGCUGAUAAAACAAACCACAAGGAAAACUCAAAUGUUUGAUUUAAUUGAUGAGUGGGAGAAAGAAUUUUUGAAGUUGAUUGCAGAAGAUGAAAUUACCAUUUCAUGUCCUAACUUUGAUAUUUGAUUUGAAUGUGAGCAAAAACUGUUUCUUGUCUUCAGUAUAUAUGAAUCUCUGCACAAUUAGAAGUUGAGCUCUUUGAAACAUAACACUGUAUGUAUGUAAGUGUGUAUAUAAUACAUUUAGAAAAAGUUGAUUAUUUAGAAGCUCAAUAUUGACUUCAUUGUAAUAAAUAUGUCAUGUUG